UGGUUACAUUGUUUCAAUAGUCAAGCAAUACAUCGUUUCACUAAAAGGUUCAUAUUCAACCAUUGCAACUUUCCAAAUUUAUAUUUUGGAAGUUUCUCUCACACUAUCACCUUUGAUAAGGCAUAACAAUCGUAUCAAAAGCCAAAAUUUCUCCCUUAUCUGGCUCGAGAAAAGUAGAAGGAAAGAUACAAGUACUUAGACGACGAUAGAUUUUUCCACCAGAGCCACCCUAUUCAAAAGAGGAGUCGGUGGUGGUGUUGAGGAUACGAGUUAUGUGUGGCGUGCGGAGGUUUCGGAAAUGCAAGAUCACUUGUUUGUUAAAUGUGGUUUCGCAAGUGAUAUUUGGUAUGAAUUUUUAAUUUGUUUGGGGUAGUUAGUGAUUGUGCUUCCAGGUAACAUUUAUCCCAUGCUUCUUAGCUAUAUGUCUCAUACUCGAAUAGGGAAGGGAAUGAAAGGGUUGAUGUUAGUAUGACAUUGUCGAUAUGGAAGUUUAGGAAUUUUCACAUAUUUUGUGCAAAGUCCCUCAAAGUGGUGGAGGUGUUCGAUACUACUAUCAAGAAUCUGUAUUGGAAUUGAUUUUUAGGAAAAUAGGGGAUUUGCCUUGUCUCUUUUAUGAAUGGUUUGAUCACCCUUUAGAUAUUUCAAGAUAGAUUUGUUUGUUUUGUUUCCAUCCGUCAGACUAAUUUUUGGGGUCGGAUGAAUAUUACUUGUACUUUAUCACGUUGAAUGGAUUUAAUACCACUUGUGCGUUUCUAUUCCUUUUCUAAUAAAACUUUUUUGAUGUUAAAAAAAAAAGAUGUUUAUUAUUAUAAAUUUAAAAUGUAUAAACAAUAUAAAAAUACAUAUUUCUAAAAAUUGCGACAUUAAUUAAAUAUUGAUUAUACACCAAAAUUAUGAUAAUGAAAGUGCCUAUUUCUUUUGUCGGUCUCUGUGUUAUAUCGCCAUUUUAGAAUCUCAAAAUGUAAUCGAGAAAACACACUAAAUUGUUUUUCCUUUUGGCGCUUCAUAAUAUUUAUUAG
rnacentral:lncRNA from 1 species